UUUAUAUGAGAGUUUGAUCCUGGCUCAGGACGAACGCUGGCGGCGUGCCUAACACAUGCAAGUCGAACGGGAUCUACGCAGUAGUUUACUACAGUGUAGUGAGAGUGGCGGACGGGUGAGUAACGCGUGGGUAACCUGCCUUACGGAUGGGGAUAGCUCCGGGAAACCGGGAUUAAUACCGAAUGUAGUGAAGCGGUCGCAUGAUCGAAUCACAAAAGAUUUAUCGCCGUAAGAUGGACCCGCGUCCCAUUAGCUAGUUGGUGAGAUAACAGCUCACCAAGGCGACGAUGGGUA
rnacentral:rRNA from 1 species